UGCGGACUGAGCCCCAGGGGAGGAUGCCGGAGCGACGCAGGGGAAUGGGCAAAGGUCCGCAGAUGAACGGACAGGCUGGUCCCAGGAAAGGGCCGUAAGGUACCGGCAGGCCUGACACCACCCCAGGGUGCUGGGUGCCAGACAGAUGGUACGGAACACAGAGGCACGCCCUCGGGGAGCUGUUUGUCCUCCUUGGCUCACUGUUACAACAUGCCAUGGCAGAGGUUGCUACCUGCUUAAUCAACAACCAUUCCCCCAUUCAUCCUCACUAACAGAACCUUGGAAUGACCCUGGGUGAUGGCUGGUACUUCAGGAACCUUGUUGGACCAUGAGGUGACCUUGAAUAAAAAUGCCAAAUACAGAGGCUAGUGUUAAAAAAAGACAGAAGUGGCCUAAGGCCCAUAGAAUCAGCAUACUAGCUCUGGCCAGCCUACCUCCAGGCCUCUUUGAGGCAAGAGAGACAUACAGAGAUAAAUAAAGCCCUGGCUAUUUCUGGUGUCUGUUACUAACCAACACUCAUGGGCAGGUUCCUUUGACUUAGACUGCAUGUUUUGCAUGUAUGAGGCCCUGGGUUCGAUCCCCGGAAUUUCCAGGACAAGUCGGUAUUUUGGGGCUAUUUCAAAUCCUAAAAGAUGAUGCUGUGAAAGUGCUGCACUCAACA